ensembl:snoRNA
UGUCCCUCGUGUGGUUUCACUGUGGCACUUUCACAGUGGGGGAGAGAAGGAUCUCUUUGGGACCUCGGGUUGGUCCCAAUGGUCACAGUGGCCUCUCUUUCCUCGAGGGGGGCAGCAUGC